rnacentral:lncRNA from 1 species
GCGUUUAAAGCUUACAAAUACAACGUCUCCCCUAUGUCAUGGCCUUAUUGGGGGUAUCUUUGCUUUUAUGGAUCUUGUAUACACUAGUUUGUCAAAACUCUACUUGUCAUCUUGUUUCAAUUCAAACCCACUAACCCCAUGUGAUCAACCCCGUAAUCUUUCCCUCUAACUUCCCUUGCAUGCCUCUUUUACAAUAAGACCAAGGACAGAGACACAGACAGACAGCGCCGUAGGCUUUCCUUGGCAGCGACAAGACACUAGAUAGAUGGAUGGAUGGAUGGACAGAAAGACAGAGAGAGAAAGAGAUUAACUUUUGCCUCGGUUACUGGUUCUACACGACCAACACUUGUUGCUUUCCAGAAGUUUUAACUGGUCCAAAACACACCCAGCUUCUAGCGUACACCCCCUUGGCCUUGUGUGUGUUCCAAGCUUUAAGUUAACCCUUUAUUUUAUUGUUUUGAACUCCCUAUAUAAUUCCUUUACUGUGACCCCACAGUUCAUAUCUGAGUGGCCUGCUUGUUUGAAAAAUGGGAGUGAUUGGGUUGUGUUUGUGUGGGAAGAGGAAGCUUAGGAGCUUGUUUUGGAGGGUUAGAGCUGAGAUAAGGAGACAAGUGAAGGGUAGGACAUCCAAGCAGAAGUUUAGCUUCCACUAUGAUCCCUUCAGUUAUGCUCUCAACUUCGACAAUGGUAACUUCGGUUUCUUAUGCUGAUCAUCACUCCCAAACUAGAAUCAAUCAAAUCAUAGCUUGUUAAGUUCAUUUUAAGGUCUCUUUGUAUUCUAAGCUAUCUUCUUCUUCUUCUUCUUAUUUAUCACCUUUUCCCCCUUGUUUCUAGUUAGCUUUUUGAUCUUCAUCUGGGUAAUGAUUGUAACUGAAAUCCAACUUCAAAGAAAAUGCAAUCUACCUUUUAGCUAAACAACAAAAUCCUUUCCAUGAAGAUAUAUAUAUUUACAAAUGGUUUUCUUUUUCCUUUAAUGAGCCCACAAUGAUGCUUACCAAUUAACUAGUAUCAAAUUGAUAACAGUGUGAAAAGAGAUACCGUCGAAAAGGAGAAGGCAAUGCAAAUGGAGAUUUGGGUUUCGAUGUUUGAAUGUUAUGAAUUUGUGUAGAUUAAUGGCAUGCAAAGCUGAGUUUCUUUCAACGUCAAGCGGGUAGCUUUUGUUUAUGAGAAAUGUGUUAAAACUUGUUUUUAAUUCAGUGUUGACAGUUCUCUGACCGUAUCUCAGCUGGGGUUUUCCUCUUGUGGAUUUAUUUCUUCCAGCACCACAACUUCACUGCACUACUAUAAAUGCUCCAGCACCAGCACUAAUGUCUCAUCCGUUCGUUUUGUCUUGUAAUAUAACACCGUUUUACUUCGCCAUUGAAUAGGUUAGGGUCUGGGGUAUGAGCCAUCGGUUUUCAUUUGGAACACCCCUCCCUCCUUCACAGUUCACACUGCAUAUAUUUCUCUUUCGAAUCUUGUUUAAUUGGACCAUUAUUUCUUUCCCAGUUCCAUGUUCUCAUUAAUAUACUAAUGUAAAAAAGAUCAUUUGUGUGUGUGGUAAAAUACGUAUUGUGUUGAGCAGCCACCAGAUGUGUAGAUUCUAUAAGGAUGCAUGGUUGUUUUAAACUUAAACCGCCAUUUAACGUCUUCAAGAUGUGAUUUAGUGAUGAUUUGGUAUUAAUGAGGGUUUUAACUAAUUUGGGGCAAACAGUUUAGAAAGAGGCAAAAUAUUAGGACUAUGAGGUAGAGGAAUCUAACUGCACCGGCAUUUGACCUCUUCAAAUUUUAAAAUUGUCUGUGUACUUUCUUCUUUCUAUUAUUGAUCCUUUGGUAAAUAAAUAAAAAAACUAAAAAUCUUUUGCA